GUCUUAAUAGGGCGAAUCAGUACGUAGUUGUAGACCCGAAACCGAGUGACCUAUCCAUGGUCAGGUUGAAGGUGGGGUAAUACCUACUGGAGGACCGAACAAGUGGGUGUUAAAAAACCCUUUGAUGAACUGUGGAUAGCGGUGAAAUUCCAAUCGAACUCGGAGAUAGCUGGUUCUAUCCGAAAUACAUUUAGGUGUAGCCUUGCAAUUAGCUUACUGGAGGUAGAGCACUAUUUGGUCUAGGGGCCCUUCAAGGGUUACCAAAAUCAGAUAAACUCCGAAUGCCAGCUAAGUAUGUGCAGGAGUCAGACGGUGAGUGAUAAGAUCCAUCGUCAAAAGGGGAACAGCCCAGAUCACCAGUUAAGGUCCCUAAAUAUAUGCUAAGUGGAAAACGUUGUGAAGGUGCAUAGACAACUAGGAGGUUGGCUCAGAAGCAGCCACCCUUUAAAGAGUGCGUAAUAGCUCACUAGUCGAGUGCUCUUGCGCGGAUAAUGUACCGGGGCUAAGCAUAUUACCGAAACUGUGGAUGCGUAAGCAUGGUAGGAUAGCGUAAUUAACGCGAUGAAGGAUGACCGUAAGGACAUGUUGGAGCGUUAACUAGUGAGAAUUCCGGUAUGAGUAGCGAAAGAUAGGUGAGAAUCCUAUCCACCGAAUGAGUAAGGUUUCCCCCGGAAGGCUCGUCCGCGGGGGGUUAGUCGGGACCUAAGGCGAGGCUGAAAAGCGUAGUCGAUGGACAACAGGUUGAUAUUCCUGUACCGAUAUUUAAUUGCCGAAGGAAGGACGCAGAAGGAUAACACAGGCCACUAUUGGAU
rnacentral:rRNA from 1 species